ensembl:misc_RNA
CCCUCCCUUCUCCACGCCCCCCCCCCCCCCCGUAAAGCCUUUGGCAUCAUUAUCCUCAUCUCCUCAUCACUAAAUCCUACAGAGUACAGGGCGGAAAACGGUGCACAC